UACAGAGGUCUCAAGCGGUGUUCGGAUUCAUUGGGCGUAAAGGGUGUGUAGGUGGCGCGCUAAGUCGGGUGUGAAAUUUCGGAGCUUAACUCCGAAACUGCAUUCGAUACUGGCGUGCUUGAGGACUGGAGAGGAGACUGGAAUUCAUGGUGUAGCAGUGAAAUGCGUAGAGAUCAUGAGGAAGACCAGUGGCGAAGGCGGGUCUCUGGACAGUUCCUGACACUGAGACACGAAGGCCAGGGGAGCAAACGGG
rnacentral:rRNA from 1 species